AAAUUGAAGAGUUUGAUCAUGGCUCAGAUUGAACGCUGGCGGCAGGCCUAACACAUGCAAGUCGAACGGUAACAGGAAGCAGCUUGCUGCUUUGCUGACGAGUGGCGGACGGGUGAGUAAUGUCUGGGAAACUGCCUGAUGGAGGGGGAUAACUACUGGAAACGGUGGCUAAUACCGCAUAAUGUCGCAAGACCAAAGAGGGGGACCUUCGGGCCUCUUGCCAUCAGAUGUGCCCAGAUGGGAUUAGCUUGUUGGUGAGGUAACGGCUCACCAAGGCGACGAUCCCUAGCUGGUCUGAGAGGAUGACCAGCCACACUGGAACUGAGACACGGUCCAGACUCCUACGGGAGGCAGCAGUGGGGAAUAUUGCACAAUGGGCGCAAGCCUGAUGCAGCCAUGCCGCGUGUAUGAAGAAGGCCUUCGGGUUGUAAAGUACUUUCAGCGGGGAGGAAGGUGUUGUGGUUAAUAACCGCAGCAAUUGACGUUACCCGCAGAAGAAGCACCGGCUAACUCCGUGCCAGCAGCCGCGGUAAUACGGAGGGUGCAAGCGUUAAUCGGAAUUACUGGGCGUAAAGCGCACGCAGGCGGUCUGUCAAGUCGGAUGUGAAAUCCCCGGGCUCAACCUGGGAACUGCAUUCGAAACUGGCAGGCUUGAGUCUUGUAGAGGGGGUAGAAUUCCAGGUGUAGCGGUGAAAUGCGUAGAGAUCUGGAGGAAUACCGGUGGCGAAGGCGGCCCCCUGGACAAAGACUGACGCUCAGGUGCGAAAGCGUGGGGAGCAAACAGGAUUAGAUACCCUGGUAGUCCACGCCGUAAACGAUGUCUACUUGGAGGUUGUGCCCUUGAGGCGUGGCUUCCGGAGCUAACGCGUUAAGUAGACCGCCUGGGGAGUACGGCCGCAAGGUUAAAACUCAAAUGAAUUGACGGGGGCCCGCACAAGCGGUGGAGCAUGUGGUUUAAUUCGAUGCAACGCGAAGAACCUUACCUGGUCUUGACAUCCACGGAAGUUUUCAGAGAUGAGAAUGUGCCUUCGGGAACCGUGAGACAGGUGCUGCAUGGCUGUCGUCAGCUCGUGUUGUGAAAUGUUGGGUUAAGUCCCGCAACGAGCGCAACCCUUAUCCUUUGUUGCCAGCGGUCCGGCCGGGAACUCAAAGGAGACUGCCAGUGAUAAACUGGAGGAAGGUGGGGAUGACGUCAAGUCAUCAUGGCCCUUACGACCAGGGCUACACACGUGCUACAAUGGCGCAUACAAAGAGAAGCGACCUCGCGAGAGCAAGCGGACCUCAUAAAGUGCGUCGUAGUCCGGAUUGGAGUCUGCAACUCGACUCCAUGAAGUCGGAAUCGCUAGUAAUCGUGGAUCAGAAUGCCACGGUGAAUACGUUCCCGGGCCUUGUACACACCGCCCGUCACACCAUGGGAGUGGGUUGCAAAAGAAGUAGGUAGCUUAACCUUCGGGAGGGCGCUUACCACUUUGUGAUUCAUGACUGGGGUGAAGUCGUAACAAGGUAACCGUAGGGGAACCUGCGGUUGGAUCACCUCCUUACCUUAAAGAAGC
rnacentral:rRNA from 2 species